ACGGGAGGCAGCAGUGGGGAAUAUUGGACAAUGGGGGAACCCCUGAUCCAGCGACGCCGCGUGAGUGAAGAAGUAUUUCGGUAUGUAAAGCUCUAUCAGCAAGGAAGAAAAUGACGGUACUUGACUAAGAAGCUCCGGCUAAAUACGUGCCAGCAGCCGCGGUAAUACGUAUGGAGCAAGCGUUAUCCGGAUUUACUGGGUGUAAAGGGAGCGUAGACGGAUCGGCAAGUCUGAGGUGAAAGCCCGGGGCUCAACCUCGGGACUGCAUUGGAAACUGUCGAUCUGGAGUACAGGAGGGGUAAGCGGAAUUCCUAGUGUAGCGGUGAAAUGCGUAGAUAUUAGGAGGAACACCGGUGGCGAAGGCGGCUUACUGGACUGUAACUGACGUUGAGGCUCGAAAGCGUGGGGAGCAAACAGGAUUAGAUACCCUGGUA
rnacentral:rRNA from 1 species